rnacentral:rRNA from 1 species
AGAGUUUGAUCCUGGCUCAGAUUGAACGCUGGCGGCAUGCCUUACACAUGCAAGUCGAACGGUAACGCGGGGGCAACCCUGGCGACGAGUGGCGAACGGGUGAGUAAUACAUCGGAACAUAUCCAGUAGCGGGGGAUAACCUAUCGAAAGAUGGACUAAUACCGCAUACGAUCUACGGAUGAGAGCAGGGGACCGCAAGGCCUUGCACUAUUGGAGUGGCCGAUGUCGGAUUAGCUAGUUGGUGGGGUAAAAGCUUACCAAGGCGACGAUCCGUAGCUGGUCUGAGAGGACGAUCAGCCACACUGGAACUGAGACACGGUCCAGACUCCUACGGGAGGCAGCAGUGGGGAAUUUUGGACAAUGGCGCAAGCCUGAGCCAGCCAUGCCGCGUGAGUGAAGAAGGCCUUCGGGUUGUAAAGCUCUUUCGGUGAAGACGAAACGGUUCAUGCUAAUAACGUGAACUAAUGACGGUACUCACAGAAGAAGCACCGGCUAACUACGUGCCAGCAGCCGCGGUAAUACGUAGGGUGCAGGCGUUAAUCGGAAUUACUGGGCGUAAAGCGUGCGCAGGCGGUUUGCUAAGACAGGUGUGAAAUCCCCGGGCUUAACCUGGGAAUUGCGCUUGUAACUGGCAAGCUAGAGUGUGGCAGAGGGGGGUGGAAUUCCACGUGUAGCAGUGAAAUGCGUAGAUAUGUGGAGGAACACCGAUGGCGAAGGCAGCCCCCUGGGUUAACACUGACGCUCAUGCACGAAAGCGUGGGGAGCAAACAGGAUUAGAUACCCUGGUAGUCCACGCCCUAAACUAUGUCAACUAGUUGUCGGGGAAGAAAUUCCUUGGUAACGAAGCUAACGCGUGAAGUUGACCGCCUGGGGAGUACGGCCGCAAGGUUAAAACUCAAAGGAAUUGACGGGGACCCGCACAAGCGGUGGAUUAUGUGGAUUAAUUCGAUGCAACGCGAAAAACCUUACCUACCCUUGACAUGCUAGGAAGCCCGCAGAGAUGUGGGUGUGCCCGAAAGGGAACCUAGACACAGGUGCUGCAUGGCUGUCGUCAGCUCGUGUCGUGAGAUGUUGGGUUAAGUCCCGCAACGAGCGCAACCCUUGCCAUUAGUUGCUACAUUCAGUUGGGCACUCUAAUGGGACCGCCGGUGACAAACCGGAGGAAGGUGGGGAUGACGUCAAGUCCUCAUGGCCCUUAUGGGUAGGGCUUCACACGUAAUACAAUGGUCGGUACAGAGGGCUGCCAACCCGCAAGGGGGAGCUAAUCCCAGAAAGCCGAUCGUAGUCCGGAUUGUAGUCUGCAACUCGACUGCAUGAAGCCGGAAUCGCUAGUAAUCGCGGAUCAGCAUGUCGCGGUGAAUACGUUCCCGGGUCUUGUACACACCGCCCGUCACACCAUGGGAGUGGGUUCCACCAGAAGUAGUUAGCCUAACCGCAAGGAGGGCGAUUACCACGGUGAGAUUCAUGACUGGGGUGAAGUCGUAACAAGGUA